GGGGCGUGGUGUCACAGCGGGGGGGCGUGAUGUCACAGCGGGGGGGCGUGAGGUCACAGCGGGGGGGCGUGGUGUCUGCGGACGUGUCGCAGCAGCAGCUGGCGGUCUGGACUCGAGUACUCGCACUGUUGGCACGGAAACGCCUCACCG